rnacentral:rRNA from 1 species
AAAGAUUCUUCGGAGGAUUUCCUAUUUGACUGAGCGGCGGACGGGUGAGUAACGCGUGGGUAACCUGCCUUGUACAGGGGGAUAACAGUUGGAAACGGCUGCUAAUACCGCAUAAGCGCACAGUACCGCAUGGUACAGUGUGAAAAACUCCGGUGGUGUGGGAUGGAUCCGCGUCUGAUUAGCUAGUUGGCAGGGCAACGGCCUACCAAGGCGACGAUCAGUAGCCGACCUGAGAGGGUGACCGGCCACAUUGGGACUGAGACACGGCCCAGACUCC